rnacentral:rRNA from 1 species
UACGUAGGGGGCAAGCGUUGUCCGGAUUUAUUGGGCGUAAAGAGCGUGUAGGCGGUCAGGUAGGUCCGUUGUGAAAACUCGAGGCUCAACCUCGAGACGCCGAUGGAAACCAUCUGACUAGAGUCCGGAAGAGGAGAGUGGAAUUCCUGGUGUAGCGGUGAAAUGCGUAGAUAUCGGGAGGAACACCUGUGGCGAAAGCGGCUCACUGGACCACAACUGACGCUGAGGUGCGAAAGCGUGGGGAGCAAACAGG